UGCUACACUGUAAAAAAAAACUGUUAAUUUACGGAAUUUUACUGUUUUAUUUUACAGUUUUUUCACGUAAUUUUGAAAUACAGUUUAAAAUUGUAAAAUUACAGAAAAAGACUGUAAAUGUACAUAUCCCAUGUAAAAUGAAAAACAUGUAAAUGUGCAUAAUGGCCCAAAAAUAUUUUUUGAUGAUUUUUUCCACAUAACACACCAAAAUCAGUGUGCUAUAUAUAUUUUUAUUUGUGUGUGUGACAUUAAUAAUAUAAUUUCAUAUUUAUUAGAAAAUAUAUAUAACAGCUGUACAAAGGUUCACUGAGCUUAUCAGGAGGUACUGUAUUUAGUACUAUUUACUGUAAUAAAGCAUGUCUUAAUGAAGACAUUUCUUUAUAAAUAAACAGAUCAGCACAUUUAUAUGUAGCCGAAGGUCUAUUUUUUAUUUAAUCUUUAUAAAAAAAUAAAUUAAAAAAAAGGACAUUGCAACGCUGGAUUGUCGCGUUUUUAACACAAAGGAACCAAACUGUCCCUGUUGAAAUGUAAAUAUACGUCUGUGGUGUGAGAUGUUUCCAAAUUGAUUGCAAAAGUAUGGAUCCUGGCAAAAGGCAGUGCAGGCAUGUCAUCACACUCUCAAAUUACGCCUUGAAUUUCCAUUAUUUGUCUCAAGCCAACACAGGUUUUUCUUUUGUCAGCUUAUUCUAAGCAGAGUCUCAAUAACUCGUUAACCUAGGAUUUGUCAUCUUCUUAACGUGUUUUCAUAGUUUAUGAAACUUAUAGUUAUACAACUCAUAGUUGUUGAAAACUUACUUCCCAAAGGAAUCAAUUCGAUCAAAGAAUCGUAUUUCCAUACUUCUGUCAACUGACUGAACACAUCUUCUUCCACUUGUCAAAGUAGUUCUGCUCAGUUUAGUGUUUUACGCAUUUAUUCUCACAGUAUCGUUUCAUAAUGUGAUAUAAUAAUAUAAUAAGCUGAUAUUUAAUUGUAAAAUAUAUAUAUAUAUAUAUUUUAAAUAUUCGAACUGAAGGAAUUCCCGCCCUAGCGCAAGGAUACAUUCUCAUCUAAGCACGCAGUGGGGCUGCUGCGCGCGCCAAAGGAAUCACUCGACCUUCAGUUUCACGCAACGGUCAAUCUUCGAUGUGAGAUGAAAAUAAGCAGAUAACUUCUGUAAGACUGGUAGUGAGUGAAAUAUUAACAGUAUGUCCAACACCUGUUAAAAAACACAUCACUGAGAUUGCAUGGAAGAUGGCCAUGGCUUAUCCUGAAGCAUUCAAAGAUAUUAUUGAAGGGGAAGUUGUUGGAAGUGGGUAUGAUUCAGUCAUCAAACAGCUGAUUAACAGGCUGGACAAUGUGAGGAGAGGAAAGACAUCACUUUCUUUAAAGAGACAAGCAGCUGGCAACAGUGAAGAAGAUACUUUGUGUAGAAAGAAGAGACUAGAUAGCUACGGGUGUAAAAACUGGCAACCAGUGCAGCUACCAGCUAAUGAAACGCCUGACACCCAGAUAUCUGUAAAGCAGGAAAUGAAAAAAAAAUGAAAAAAGAACAGUUCCAUGAUGCCAAAAUUGUUGAGAAUAUGAUGAGGGCCACCUUCUUUACUCAGCGAAAAGACAUCAUAAAUGGGGUUGAAACCUCUGAUCUGUUGCACGAAUGGCCAUAUUUGUUUAAAACAUCUGGCAUGAUGACUCACUUUAAAGAGCUAACUGCGAUAGACUUUGAAGACAAAACUAUAGCAAGUAAGUGUGCUAGAGUUGUUUCAUACUUCAGAUGUACUGACAAGACAGCAAAGAUGCAGACCAUCUUCAGGGAAAUGGAAAAAUCAAGCAAGAACUUGGAUGAUAUCAACGCUGCUGGAUUUCUUCAGCUACUUCUCAAGUACUUCAGCGAGAGAGAGGACCAGAUGUUCCAUAAAGUGGAUCAAACAACCUUGCCAUCUGAAGUAGACUGUGCCAAACUUCCGAGUACACCCUGCAUAAUUGUGUGUGGAAGUUCACCUUUGACCGCAGAGAACUUCAUGUUUUCUGUUGACCAAGUCGUCGUUAACGGCCACAUCACCAUCUUCUGUGAUGCUCUGAAGUUGAUGUUUGCUUCAUAUUACUGUUUGAACAUUUCAUACCCAGUAGACCAAGGAGGAACGCUAGAGUUUGUGCAAAGAUGCCUUUUUAAGAUGAACCCCGAGAAGGGAUCAAAAGUGGAGAAGACAACAUCAAGAAAGCAAUCAGCAGUCAGUCCAAAGGUUCUUUCACUGAUUAGCAAAAUUGCAGACUAUGAAUGGAUGGAUUAAAAACUUUAAGUGUCAGAUCUUCCAUUGACUUAAAAUACUGAUAAUUUUCUUUCGUGGUUGAAUUAUUUGUUGCUGUCUGUACACACACACACACACACACACACACCUACACACACACACACACUCAUAUGACAGCACAUGGUUGAGAUCCCUGAUGUUAAGAUGCCAUUUGUCUGGGAGUCGUCUCUUUCUGUUCUGUGUAGAACGGAUGCUUCCUGAACUCUACAGCUACACAUACACAUCUGACUGAUGUUAUUAGUGCACUGAGGAUCAGUCUGAGGAUUGAGUUGUGAGCGUCAGAGUGUUACUUUACUAUCAUCUCUACACUAUUAGAGCAUAUAUCUGUUGUCGAGGUGAAUAAUUUCUUCACAGGUGGUUCAGUUAAAUUAAAGGACAAUUUUAGUAUAAAUUGUUGUGUUUACCAAAAUUGUUUUUACUGUGUGCUGUUGCGUUUAUGAUUUUUUUUUUAAUAUUUUUAUUCUGUUUUGGCCAUGAACAAAAUGAAUUGUAAUAUUGUUGAAGUUAUGAUUAUUGGAAAAUCAUUGAACUUGUGCUAUAAUAAUCUUUAUACUUGUAUAUUGUUGCAGUCUUGAAUAUAGAAUAUUAAGAGUAAAUUGCAGUUUUGAACAAAAUGUAUUGGUAUGUACUUGCAGAUAGGGCAAUAAAUUAUUAAAACACUAUCUUGCACCUAUGUCUGAUUAUUUAAAUUAAAGCAGUGUUAAAUAAUUUUGAUUAAAAAAAUAACUUCAUGAUAAUUUAAUGGUUUCCACAAAAUUCAUGUAAAACAUCUUAUUGAACAUUAAAAGUGAAGAAAAUACAGAAAAUCUCAUGUAAAAUUACAGCAAAAAACUGUAUUUUUGAAUUACGGAAAAUUACUGUUAUGUAAUGUGCCUGUUAUUUUACGGUAUUUUUCCGGCACCCCAGCUGCCGGAAUUUUACCGUUUUUUUACGGGAUUUUUUUUUACA